rnacentral:lncRNA from 1 species
CGGCAGCAGCAGCAGGAGGAGGCAAUGCCUGCUAGCACUCUGUUCCUGAAUAGGCCUGGAUAUUGAGAUCCUGAGUUUCUUUGGUAACUAAAGGUACAGCUCUCAGCCUGGGAUGUCCGGAUCCUUGGCCCUUGAGAUAGGUUAUUGCUGUAGGCUUUGACCUUAAAGUACCUAGAUCCUCAGUCCUCACGGAGCGGGUCUCAGCACGUGGGUAGAAUGACCCUUCCGCAGGAGUCACAUGUCAGAUAUUUACACUGUGAUUUAUAACAGUAGUAUACUUUUACGGUUGGGGUCAGCACACAUGGAGAACUGUAUUUAAGAGCUGUUGCUUUAGGAAGGUUGAGAACCACUCUUCUAGGAGCUGGGUCCAUAGUUUCUCAUCCGCGGCCCUUCAAAGCCUUCGCCAUCACUGUCUCUCCUCUCUCUCUUGUGCUCCAGAACUCUCCAACUGCUCUCUUGGGGCUGCCCCUCCGUUAACUCUGCUUCCACUCUCGCUGACUCUUAUCCCGGCAUGGCUACUUCUGCCAUCUUUUCCUUGUGUUAGCAGCUCAAUUAACAAUAAAGAUCAAAAGCCGGCGAGAGAGAGAGAGAGAGAGAGAGAGAGAGAGAGAGAGAGAGAGAGAGAGAGAGAGAGACCAUUCUAGAGAAACAUUUUAAUGAGCCUGGGUUGCAAUAUUGGGUGUGCUCAGGAGGGCGUUUCUUGGCUGAUGCUAAACAGCCUUGUUACACAGCCAGGAGGGAGUUGUGGCAGAACUGUUUGCAGCUGAUGUCACAGCCCUCAUCACAAGGGGAUGAUAUUCUGCUGCAUCCCCUGAAGUUCGGAAUCCCUCUGGCGGAAGUGAGAAUAGCUGCGGGGCAAGUGGACUUGCACUUACCAAGGUUUAUUUAAUUUAGAGUGCUAUUGCCAAGGUCAGUACAGGCUGCCUAGAGUGGCCAUGACUAGAGCGUGACUUUGGACAUAGCUGUAGUGGUUGUCUGCUCUACUUUAGUAUCCUCAGAGUAAAGGAGCCAAAACAACCAGGCUACUGCUGCUGCUGCUGGCUAGUUGCAGCACAGGGUCUUCUUGGCUAUGGUUCCUGCCUGGUAACUUUUUUAAAGAUUUAUUUAUUAUUAUAAAUAAGUACACUGUUGCUAUCUUCAGACACAUCAGAAGAGGGUGUCAGAUCUCGUUACAGGUGGUUGUGAGCUACCAUGUGGUUGCUGGGAUUUGAACUCAGGACCUUCUGAAGAGCAGUCAGUGCUCGUACCCGCUGAGCCAUCUCUCCAGCCCCUAUUCUUGGUCAUUUUUAACACUAUCAUCUGAUUUUAUUUUUUUAUUGUUUUAAAACGAUUCAUUGUAUUUAAACUUUUUUUUCUAAUUUAUGUGUGUGUAAGUGUGUGGGUGUCUGUGUACGUAUUUGCCACCUCUGUGCAGGUGCCCAAGGUGACCAGAAGAGGGCACUGGAUUGCUCAGAGCUGGAGUUACAGUCAGUUGUGAGCUGCACAACAGGAGUGCUGUGAACGAAACUUCAGUCCUCUGCAACAGCAGCAGUACUUCCCAGCCACGGAGCUGUCCCUCCAGCCCUGCUCUGCAAGCGUGUUUUCACGGUUCACCCAUGCUGUGUGUCAUUCCUGGUCUGGCGGCUGAGUAGUAUCCCAUUGCAUGGAUACAUACCACGUUAUUUAUUUAUCAGUUAUCAGUUAUCAGUUGAUGACAUGUGGAUUGUUUCUAUUUCCUGAUGGCUAACGAACAACGACUCUGUGAAGAUCACCAUGUAUGAGUUCUUGUGUUGAUAGUAUGUCUUCAUUUCUCCUAAACAUAUGUCAAGUCAUGAAAGUGCUAGGUCACAAGUAUGUGCAUCCUUACCUGUGAUGUGUGCUGGUCCCACUUCCUCUACAACCAUGCCAACACUUGCUCUUAGCUGUCUCUCUCUCAGUCAUCCUAGUGGACAGAAAGUGAUAUCUCAUUGUGAUGUUGCCACUAAAUUUUAAAUAAAUUCUUUCUUCUUUAAUUUAAUUUCUCCUUAUUCAGUCCAUACUGGGCCAAAAAAAAAAAAAAUCUCAGAAAUGUAACUGAGGUUGAUUUAAAACUUUUUUCUUCUAGUGUUCUUUGUGAAUUUUACAUCAUGCACCCCAAUUCCACUCAUCUCCCCAUCCCCUCAUAUCCCCCCCUUACAACCUCCCCCACAACAGAGAAAAAAAAACUCACUGUGGAGGCUGUAGUGUUGUCACAGUGCGUCCGUCCCAUAGUGUACCCUUUUGUCCAUACUUCAUUGCUUGCAAAUGUUCAUUGCAAUGAGUCCUUGGUCUGGUAUGAGGCCUCUGGUGUCUGCUACUCUAUCAUUACUGGAACAUUGAGGGUAAUUUUAAAAACUGUUUAUUUAUUUACUUACUUAUUUUAAAAGCAUGAUCUUACUGUGUAUCCCUGGCUUCCCUAGAAUUUUCUAUGUAGAGCAAGCUGGAACUCACAGAGAUAUGCCUGCCUCUGUCUCCUGGAUACUGGGAUUAAAGGUGUAUGCUAGCACGCCCCAUUUAUUUUUAAUUAUUUGUGGUAUGUAUGUAUGUGUGUAUAAAUAUGUGCAUAUGAGCACCGAUGCCAGUGACGGUCAGGAGAGGGUAUCUCUGGGAGCAAGAGUUAUAGGAGUUAUAGGAGCUUGUGAGCUGCCUAACGAGGAUGCUGGGAACUGAACUUGGGUCCUCUACAAGCGCAGCCGGUGCUCUAGACCUCCAAGCCAUUUUUCCAGCCCCUGACACCGAGCUUGUAUUGAGUUGUGGACAUGAGAAGGUUUACUGCUCUCCUGGUGUGACUUCAUUAGGGGUCUAUGAGGCAGUUGUUUCUGUCUCUAUGUCCCCAUUGCCCCUCCUGCUCUUGUGAGACUAUGGAUUGAUUCAUGAAAAUAUUUCCCACUUUCCUUGUGGUUCAGUAAUCGUCUCCCCCAUUCUUUCCUUAAACAGUCUCAGUCGUGGUGACAGUCAUGGUGGCAGGUGCUGGGGACAUGGCUUUUGGAGGCUUAGGUUCUAAUUCUGUGUCUAGUGAUUGCCAGCCCAGAGCCCAGAGCCCACUAAUGAAACUCUGAGCUUUGGCUUUCCUAUUUACAAAGAGAGAUAAUAACAGAUCUCUCCGAUAAUUGUUAUGAGGAUUAAGCUACAUCCUGCGUGUCAAACAAUAGAACAACAGUGUGGAAAUUGCUUAAUAAAUAUUAGUUUCCUCUGCACCCUUGCAUUCCUCCCAAUCCUGUAAAUGUGCUGUUUCCCCAGGAGAUGGAAGGAGGCUGCUGUAGAUACAAUUUAAAUAACAGUCUCAAAUAAAUGCUAUGCCAGAGAGAGAAGAGACUAGAAGCCAAGGGAGAGAAAGAGAUAGACUGUGUCCAAACCUAGUUUAGAAAGCAGAGGGCUGAUGACUUAAGGGAGGUCAGAGAUGUCGCUGCUGCUGGGAGGGAAGGCACAGGAUGGGAGGGAUGCUUGGGCUGUGCUGUUUACAUGUUCUGUUCCCCCAAAGCACUCUUUUUUUGGAUUAUGAUCGCAUAGGCACAGAAUCUUUUUGAAGCAAAGUUGAUGUUAAUUUCAGACGACCUAUUUCUAGGGGCAUUCUGGGAUCUGACUGGACGAAGCCUUGCGUAUACCACAGGCUGAAGGAGGAGGAGGAGGAAGGCCAGGAAUGCUGGUGUGGUAAGGGAAGAGCCCUGUCUAGCAGCUGUCUUUAUCCACAGCGCAUUCAGAGAAAGCUUCUAGCCAUCCUGGAGGGCUUAAAAUACAGUAUCUAAUGGAGUGAAACAUUUUGCAACAUGAUUGUCAGCCUUGGAGCUGACCUUUGAGUUCUAAACUAAGGGACUUGAAAGUGACUGUUGAGUGACGCUUACCUGUAGGACAGCGGUUCUCAACCUCUGGGUUGUGACCCCUUCCACAGGGGCUGCUUAAGAUCAUUGCAAAAUAUUAUGAUUUAGAACUGUAGCAAAGUUACAGUUAUGAAGUAGCAACAAAAAUAAUUUCCUGACUGGGGUUCAGUACAGCAUGGUUGAGAACCACUAUGGUAAGAAGAUACAAGUUCUACUUAGUAUUAAAACCUUCCCUGACUUUCCCUUGGUCACUUAAAUUCCUUUAGCAGAGGAAUUAAAUUAUAUCCUGCCCCAUAUCCCUCAACGAAAAACUCAGGUGACAUAAUUGGAAGGGUUCACAGACUAUUACCUUUAUUAAUGCUGAUGGCUUUUUAAAUAAAAAAGGAACCAUUUCAGAAUCUGAUACUGAUUUAAGAGUCAAGCAGCAUGCUGGAGAGGCUGAAAAUAUAGUCGCUAACUUUUAUUGUCCCCAGCCCUGGCCCUAGGGCUGGGCAUGGUGAUGCAAGCAUUUAAUCCCAGCACUUGGGAGGCAGAAGUAGGCAGAUCACUGUGAGUUUAAGGGCAGCCUGGUCUACAUAGCCAAUUGCUACAUAGUGAGAUGCUAUUUUAAAAGAAACCACCCUCUUUGGCUUUACUUAGUCAGCCAACAAGCAUACGGUGCACAUCUAUUAUAAGCCGGUGUCGGGGUCUGGAAUGCCAAGGCACGACUCUUACUGUGUUGAUCUUUCAUGCUGGUGAUGUUCCUUUUCUAGACUGGUUCCUUCUACUCAGGAGCCUCAAUUCUCACAUAGACCAUCCCAAAUGUGGCCAACUUGAAAACUUAUAAGUAGAAGGGACUACUGUAGAACUCAAUUUGGGGGCAGUUAUACAUCAACACUUCAUAAUGUGUUUGGGCAGUUGUCUAGAAAUGUUAUCAUGAUUUUUUUUUUUUUUUUUUGAGAUAGUGUUUUUACAUAGCCCAGGCUGGCCCUAAACUCAUCAUGACAGACAGAAGAAAAAUCCAGGCUAAUCACAUGAAGUGAAGCACUGUGUGACAUGGAGAAAACAACUUGGGAUGUUUAUGCCAUGUGCAGAGAGCAUGGGGGAGGAGGGAAAGAGAUAAUGGGCUGAGUAGAACUUUAGAAGAAGGGAGAGCAAGCCAGCCAUCAGGUUUUCUGGUGGGAGCGGAGACAAGGGAAACAAGUGGAGACAACAGGAAUACAAGAGGUUGAAGUUUUCUUUUCCAGAAUCUUCAAGGGCCGGCAAACUGAAAUCAUGGGAGAAAUGCCAGCUACCACUAAUAUCCAGGACCCGGAGCCAUGGGCUGAAAGGGUGGGUUCAGGACCUUUUGGAAAAUGUCACCAGACCCCUCCCCUCCAGAAGGGGAAGGCUAAUUAACAUUCCACAGGACAGACUGACCAUCAGCCACCUGCCAGUGGGAGAGGCCUAGAGCAGAGAGAAAUGCACCAAAGAAAUUCUGGUGGGAUUCCAGCUGCUUCUUGCUGUUGCUGUGGACUUCUGCUGAUUUGCAGAAUCUUGUGGUUUCUUCUGGAUUAAGCUGCUACUGCUGAUUCAUGUUUGGUGUUUGCUGAGUGAACACAGCUGCUAAUGCCGAUUCCUCUGUGAUAUUUUGCUGAAGGACUGCACUGCUGACAACGAAGACUUAAAGAACUAUUUCUAAACAAGUCCACAAUGCACUUCCUAAAAUCUUUCUUCUCCCCUUCCUUUGAUGGUUUGUGGGCUAGAAGGGAGGUUGAAGUAUUACAGAACUAUUUGAAAAAUUUUAAGCCUAAAAUUCAUUGUUUUCUUGAUAUUUAUUCUAGUUUUCUGAGUUCUUCAUAUAGUCUACAAAAAUUAUAUAGGAUGCAUAGGUGUAAGGAGAUUACUUUUUUCCUGCUUUUUAUGCCAUGCUUUCUUCACUCAAAGGUGGUGUCCUUUGCUUUACAGAAACUGAAAGAUGGAGAGUUAGUGUGCAUCAAGGGUGUGGUCCAUAGUACAGCUACCAUGCUUCAGUAUAUGGCCAUCCAAAUAAGACUACAUGAGUAGCAGUAAUCAGGUAUAGGUUUCAAAAAACUUGGGUCAUAAAGCUGGGAUGCAGUGAAUGGCAGGGCAUAGAAGAGAAGGGUGAAUGUGGUCAGAACAGUGUUUGAAUUUCUAAGAAAUUAAUUAAAUAUCUUUAAUUGGUGGAUUUUUUUAAAGGAGAUGGCUAGUGGGUAAAAUUGGUUUGUGAGCAAGAAUAAAGACCUACCUGAGGAUUUCUAUUAUCUUUAUAAAUUUUUAAAAAAUAUUUUUAUUAGGUAUUUUCCUCAUUUACAUUUCCAAUGCUAUCCCAAAAGUCCCCCAUACACCCCUCCCCACUCCCCUCCCCACCCACUCCCA